AAACGAAGGCUUGGACCGCGGGAUAGGCCCGUUAAAACCUGUGGCGGGGCGGUAUUGGGCCUAGGAUUUGAGAUCCCGCAAUGUUGCGGGCCUAGCGGGAAGGGACUGUGCGGGAGUGGGUUCUCAGGCGGGACGGCCCAAACGAAACCGCGGUUGACCCUAAUGUCCCGCACCUUCUUCUCUUGUCCUCCACCUGAAAACAAAGGAGAGAGAGAGUGAGAGGAAGACGAGUCGCCGCCACAAGAAAUGGAGCUCCGGCGACGGCGAUAAGCUCCGGUACUUCUAUCUCGGCGUUAAGCUUCGGUACUUCUCGGCGAUAUGUAUUAUCGUUGAAUACAAGGUGGUUUCCAUGACAAACGGUACUUUUCCGGCAAGGACAAACGGUUUUGUUUUCGUUAGAAUACAAGGUUGUUUCCAUGAGAUUAGAAACUCGAUUCCUGACGUUGUAGCUGUUUCACGGCUUCUUAAUGCUACUCUAGUUAUCCCUGAGAUCCAGGAGCAAAGGGAUUAGGUUCGGACUUAAAUUAUUUGAUGAUGGUGAUUUGGUUCUUUUCUCUAGUUUCAUUGACACGUUGUUGUUUCACGAGCAACUCACAGUUUAAGAGCUUUGCAUGUCUGUACUACUUGUUGAGCUUUAUGAGCUUUUGGAUUUUUCGAUGUUAAAGUACAGAGGGCUGCUGCAGGGGCCUUGCGUACUUUUCCAUUUAGAAAUGAUAACAAGAACCAAAUUGUUGAGUUGAAUGCUUUGCCCACGCUUGUAUUGAUGCUUCAGUCAGAAGAUCCAUCUGUGCAUGGCGAAGCGAUUGAGGCAAUUGAAAAUCUUGUCCACUCGUCUCCUUGACAUCAAGAAAGAGGUUAUCCGCGCUGGUGCCUUACAACCAGUCAUCAGUCUACUUAGGUAUGUUACUGGAGCAGGCUGGAGUGGCCUGCAGUGUCAAGAAGCGUACUGAGCGGCCUACAGCAUCGAGAAGCGUCCUGCAGCACUACAUUAAUGUUUGUCCCGCGGGCUGGCCCAUAAAGGAUUGUGCAUUUGGCGGGACGGGAUUGGGACAGAGCUUUCAGGGACCGCAGCCCGCGCGGGCCGGGCCCGCUUUGAACCGCUCGACGACGAUCCCGCUGCAGGACGGGACGGAAUGGGACGGGACGACCUGUUUGACAUUCCUAACCACGUAGCGUUUUAAACACGGUUUAUAACAAAAACAAAACAAAAAGUGACUAAGCCAAUUCAUUGCCCUUGCUAUGAUAUCUUUUAGGAGUAUUGAAUUCACAUUCACACGCAUUCAGAAUGUGUGAGUCACCUUCCAUGAAGUGGAACACUAAUCAUGUAUAUAAGCUUGAUGAACUGAACUAAACGAAACAAAUGGUGAAUAAAUGAUUAAUCACUGAU